rfam:Aspergillus flavus NRRL3357 scf_1106286419448 genomic scaffold, whole genome shotgun sequence.
GUCUCGGUGGCGCAAUUGGUUAGCGCGUCUGACUGUUAAUCAGGAGGUUGUGAGUUCGAUCCUCACCUGGGACG